UUCCUGCGGCGGUAUGCAAGUUACCGUACUGUGUUAGUAACAGUCACUGUCUCUUGCGUCAGAGGCCUCAUCUCUACCUUUGUACCCUGCAGGGAUCACGUGAAUGUGUGCACAGCGAAAGUUGCCCUGUGACCAUGGGGGCCAUGCUCCAGAAAACCUGGCAGUAAUAUGAACUGAACAUGUCAGAAAGGCCGCAGACAGGUAUGCCCACUUUACAGUGGGUUUCCUUGUGGAAGAGUUCUUAGAUUUACCCAUGGAGAAUAUUGUGCAUAUUGCUUCUAUAACACUGCAACUGGAUUUCGGCACUACCGCAAGCAGGCAGUUCACAUCAACCACAACUUCCAGAUUCUGACCCUAACAGCCUCAUAUGUGGGUUGGAUAUUUAAGGUGAACUUUCUACAGACUGCAUCAAAGUGCAGGCAUGGAACAUCUACAGCUGAAGUUCAGGCAUUCCUUGUCCUUAGGAAAUUUACAGUUUAACUAAAAAAUGUUUUCUCCCCUGAUAGCAAAGUAUCAGCUUAUUAGAAGUUUGUUUCUCUCCACAACCCAAAUGUGGUUUGCAGAGGAGGAUGCUUUUCUUUCUGGCUAAGGCCACCACAGUUUCUCACCCAGCUUUUGAGAGCUUUCUGUAGUUAAGCUUGAGCUAACAACUAAUGCUUGAGCACCUUUACCUGAGGGAAAUGCAGUACCAGUGAACUAGUGGGUCAUUCUAGUCUUGGGCUUGCUGAGUUCAGUGCUAUCAGGGUCCAUCAAUUGAGGUGCCACAGGAGGUCAGAUAUGAGUCUAAAGCCAAGAAGAGAGCCUGGGCUAUGGACAUGAACUUGGAGAUCUCAGAGCUGGUCUAGGAAGUAAGUAGACAAGAUGGACUGAGGACAAACCCAUGAAAGAAGCCAAGGAAUAAAGCCAGAGCAGGAGAACAUAGAUGACACCAGCAAGAACAAGGGAAUGCAGCCUGCUGGUCACCGUGGCUAAGCAGAAGCAUGCAGACAUCCCAAGAGGAGUCAUCCCCGACCGUCACCACAGCAAGACACUCUCCUAAUCACAAGCGGGAAGAGGGACUGGGGACUUGAAAGCCUCCACUUCACCUCUAAGCCUAGGACAUGGGACAUGAAAAGACUGAGGCCUCCAACCACAGUAAGACAGAAGAGGUUCUGGCUGAUAGAGCUGCGCCCGACCAUGUGGGAGAGGCUGCUCCAGGUCACAGAGCGAGGCUAGCUUUCUAUGAUUUAGGCACAUUAAGAAGUAAACAGGCACAGCUGGGUCCAGGAAUAUAUGACUACUAGCAGUGGCUGUGAACAUCUAGACAACUCUGAGCCGCUCACGAAGCCUUCUUUCAGAGAGGAACAACACACAAACCAACAACUGAAGUAAAUAUGAAAUAGCAGGAUACUAUAGAGAAAAGGGCAGGGACAGCUUGGAGUGUGCUGGGCAAGCCUGAAGAGCUAUAUAUCCCCCAACAGUGGCAACCUUGAGCAAGCUGGAUCCUGGGAAGGGCCUCCAUGAUGCUGGAGAGCACAAGAGCCUGGACCAGCUCAGGCAGAUGGUGACUGACUGACUCAGAACCUGUACAGCCAGCAAUUUCUCCUAGCGUGUUCUUCCUGGAUUGCCAAAAGGGUUUUUGGAGGGCAAGAGCCCAUGUCUUUUGUCUCUCUGCCCUCAGAAUGGAACAAUGAGCAGGAAAACAUCAAGUGGCUCAGAGCUGAGUAUGGAGUUUCCCAGCCCCUAUUCCCAAUUCCUGACUGCGAUUAGAAUAGUGUCUCUUGCCACGGGACAUCGGCUGCUGACCUCAGUGAUCAUCUCUUUCUGCUGACCUCAGUGAUCAUCUCCUCCUGCUGACCUCAGUGACUGCACAUUUCUUGCCUUCGCCAGGGGUAUCUGGCUUUGCUCCUUGUCUGGUUUUGCUACACGGCUUUCUUUAUGUUUUUUUUUCUUCUUAUGUGGUUUGAACUGAAAAAUGGAAACCUGAUCAACAGAGUCCCUUAUACCUGACUGAGACCUUUGGUUCAUGAACUACAUUUCUUAUUUAAGGGAAAAAAAAAAUCAAUAAAAGGAUUCUCUAA